rnacentral:snoRNA from 1 species
UCCCAGUGAUGAGUUGCCAUGCUAAUACUGAGCUACCAGGUAGGGCAGCCUUGCCCUGGUUUGGGUGCCAAUGAGUUUAACAAAACUUCUCCAUGAACACCUGAGGGAC